GAACGUCCGACUAACAGCCCUUCGUAAGCACUUAAGCCAGUGCUUAGCAGCAUAGAGGAAGAGUGGAGCUCAGUGAAACAGUGGAGAAGUCUAGCCGCUACCUCUCAGUGAGAGAGAGAGAGAGAAGAGACAUCAUUUUAUGCGCAACAGAACAUGUACAGAUUUUUUUUUUACCACGAUGCUGGACCUGGACCUGGACCUUCCUCCACAUCCUCAACAAAAUAAAAGCAAUACCAAAAGGCGCUGGGGCAAACAGUGGCACUGUUUCACCUUAUGCAGAUUCCAGAAUUAAAAGGGACUCUAUGGUUCCACCGGCUUCCUUUUGGCCUGAGACACACGUCGGCCAUGGCCUAACUCAGCAGGAGGUGGAUCUGGAGUGGAUUGCGCAGAAGGGAAACCAUGGACAACCCCACCCCUUAAACUGGAGAAAGACCUCUUUUUGAGAAUAAAAUUCCACAUUAGUGGGUGGUUUUCCUAUUUAUAUUCCCCCCAAAAAUGUCCAUACUUUAUACUGUGAUGCUGCCUGAGACAUCAACAGCUGUCAUCAUAGGCAGCUCUAUGGUGAGAAACAUCUUGGUCCCCAAGGCAAAAACCCUUUGUUACCCAAGAGCACAGGACAUAAGGCUGCUUCCGACUGUUCUACCACAGCCGGGAGCUGAAACUGUCGUAGUCCAUGUGGGGUCCAACGACAUCAGGAGGGCUAGCUUGGAACAUUUGAAAAUGGAUUUUAAAAUAACUGAUUUUAGCAUUAAAAAGACUCAACUAAAUAAAACAGCCAAUUAUUUCAGGUCCAGGACAAUUGUCGGGUCGCAGGUGUGAAAGAUUCAGUAGACUGCUGGCCUUACACAUCUGGCUAAAAUACUACAAUUGUCACGACUUCUACCGAAGUCGUUGCCUCUCCUUGUUCGGGCGGUGCUCGGCGUCACCGGUCUUCUAGCCAUCAUUGAUCCAUUUUCCAUUGGUUUUGUCUUGUCUUCCCACAGCUGUUUUCAAUCCCAUUCAUUACCUGUUGUGUAUUUAACCCUCUGUUUCCCCUCAUGUCUUUGUCAGAGAUUGUUUAUUGUCAGUGUAGUGUUUUUUGUUGUAUAGGUGCGCGACGGGUCUUCGUACCCAUAUUUGUUUAUGUUCUUUUUCCUGUUUAGUGUUAUGGAGCAUGUUACUAGGACAUUAUUAAAAGACUCCAUUUUACACU